UACGUAGGGUGCAAGCGUUGUCCGGAAUUAUUGGGCGUAAAGAGCUCGUAGGCGGUUUGUCGCGUCGGCUGUGAAAGUCCGGGGCUCAACUCCGGAUCUGCGGUGGGUACGGGCAGACUAGAGUGUGGUAGGGGAGACUGGAAUUCCUGGUGUAGCAGUGAAAUGCGUAGAGAUGCGGAGGAACACCGAUGGCGAAGGCAGCCCCCUGGGCCAACACUGACGCUCAGGCACGAAAGCGUGGGGAGCAAACAGG
rnacentral:rRNA from 1 species